GCAUUGGUGGUUCAGGGGUAGAAUUUCGCCUUCCAUGCAGGAGACACAGGUUUGAUUCCUGGCCAGUGCA
rnacentral:tRNA from 1 species